UACGUAGGGUGCGAGCGUUAAUCGGAAUUACUGGGCGUAAAGCGUGCGCAGGCGGUGAUGUAAGACCGAUGUGAAAUCCCCGGGCUUAACCUGGGAACUGCAUUGGUGACUGCAUUGCUGGAGUAUGGCAGAGGGGGGUGGAAUUCCACGUGUAGCAGUGAAAUGCGUAGAGAUGUGGAGGAACACCGAUGGCGAAGGCAGCCCCCUGGGCAAUACUGACGCUCAUGCACGAAAGCGUGGGGAGCGGAACAGGA
rnacentral:rRNA from 1 species